CGUCACAGAAUCAACUGAUAGCCCCACAUUAGUACCUGUUAUUAAUUGCGAAGGUACGAAGUGUACUGGAGUCACAAAACUAUACGCUUGUGUGUGUGUGUGCGUGUAUGUGUGUGUGCGUGCGAGCAUGCGGUGAGUGUUACAGAGGGUGUGGCGGCAGUUCAGAGUCAAGAGGGAUGUCCGUUGUUAUAACAAGGACGGCAGAAGCUCGCUGGCUCUUCUGGAAGUCGCAGGAAUUAACAACAGCUUUUAUGUCUCUCCAAUUCUCUCUAAAGACUGGCUGCUGAGAAGAUUCAGUGUUCCUACUCUACGACGCAUUUUAGUGCUGGCUGAUGUGUACCCCACAUUGCUGCAUGCUUACUCACUCUCCAGCCUUGAAGCGCUAGACACCCUGAACUCCCGCCCCUUCCCUGACGCUCCGGAGUCGCGAGGACCUGCCAGCCCAUCGCCAGCGCCGCGCCACCAUGGACGUGAAGGCCGAGCUUGUCUUAUUGAUCUUCACCCUUAACUGCGUCACCCUGAUUCUCACUGGCAAGGACUUGAUACGGUCUCGUCUGUGUCGAGAUAAAUAUGGUCAUGACCCGGCUUGCAUUCUUACCUUAAGGAACACCCCUAUCAUCCUCAACGACACCACCAGCACCAUUGCCCACAUGAAGAACAUUACCAAUACUUCACUCAGCAAUGGCAUCUCACUAGCACUACCAUUACCACUGCAACGGUCACCACAUUUACAGCCACAGCAGCAGCCACGUCAACUGCUCUCAUCAUUAGCAAGCAAGGGAGAAAAGGAAGAAGUGGAUGAUUCUCACGACCUGUUAUCGCUGCUACCACCACUGAAACCAAAAAUCAACAAAAACCACCUCGUUAAUGUGACGCAGGCAGUGGAGUCUUGCGGCCUGAUCCUCACCGCCACCUUCCUCUCCACCUCCGUGGUCUCAUCGCAGGUGCUAGGCAGGUGGAUUGACAGGUGGUCUCGAAAAAGUAUGAUGAUGCUACCUCUGACGGGCGUGGUACUGUGGGCCACCUGUGGAGUGAUGGUUUCAGCCGCGCCCUGGAACCCCAUCUUCCUGUGGUUCGUGGGAGCGGGUCUGUGCGGCCUCUGCGGGGGCUUUAUCACCCUCAAAACCGCCGUGACGACCUAUGCUCUUCAGGCCAUGGAGCGUGGGGACAAGAUAGUGAAGCUAGCUCUACUGCAGGCCGCCAUCUCUAUAGGGGUGUUUGUAGCCUACCUAUGCUCCUACUACCUGCCUGCUAACACUCACGGAGAGAUUAGUAAUACGUUAUUAGGUAUUACGCUGAUGGGAAUAUUGGACAUCAUCUUCGCUGCGGGGUUCCUCUCGACCACAUCUCGAACACCACCACCCCUGUCACCCACCACUCCAUCCACCACCCCCCGCACCCGCUCCGCUUCCAACCCUCCCCCCGCAGGACCCGCCACUCGAGUUAAUGCGCACAACUCCACCGUAAGUUUAGCUCGGCAUGCUCAAAGAGAGGAAGAGAUGCGGGAGGAGGAGGAGGAGCAGAGGGAAAGAAGGUACGCUGGAAAGAAUAAGAUAAUAAUAGUCGAUGUAGUGAAAGAAGAUGAUAAAUGUGAUGAAGAUGAAAAGGAGGAUGAACGGCAUGCCCAAAGGGAUAAGCAGGAGGAGAUGGAAGUGGUGGUAGUAGCGGAACAGGAGGAGGAGAAGGAAGAGAGGAACGAUGGAUAUCAUGAAGAAAGAAUGGUGGAGGCAGUGAAGGAAGAGGAUGAUAAAUGUGAUGAAAGUGAAGAUAAAGAGAGGAAGGAAGGAGAAAGAUACGUAAAUCACGAAGAUGAUGAAUGUGCUGAAAAUGAAAAAGAGGAAAGAAUAAAAGAAAAAAAAGUGGUUGGCGAAUGUGAUAGAAAUGAAGAAAAUAAUAUGGAAGAAGAGAAAAACGAAGAUGAGUACUAUGAAAAAGAGGAGAAACAAAAGAAAGAAAAGGAUGAGAAAGAUGAAUGGCUUAAAAAUGGAGAGAGAGAAGAGAAAGAAGACGAAAUGAAUGCAAUCAAAGACACAGAGAAUAUUCCAGCACAUCCUGUAUUCCCUAUUGACAUUUUCGUUAUUUCCCCUAUAGAAGAGCAAGACGAAAACUUGAGCGACGUGAACAAGAACACAGAGGGAAAUACCGCAAUAGAGUCGGGAGAAAUAGACCGAGACGAAGGACAUUUGAUUGCUUAUUCCACCGAGGAAGAGGGGAUGAACACCAAACAGAUCAGAUUAGCGUUCCACGGUUCCUCGCCCUCCCACCACACCAUUACUAUUGCCUCAGAGGACGGCAGCAGCGUGUACGGCACCCCUCCUGAGCCCUCUAGCCACUAUGGCACACCUCCCAGCCGAACGCUCUCCCGCCACUCUAUGGAGGCGGCGGCGGCGGCUGCAGAGGGGGUUCAUCAGCAAGCAGUAUCAGCCUUCCAUCAUCCACCUCAAGCCUGCGUCCCUUGCUGCUGCCACCACAGAGUGCAGGAUUACAGAUGUCCCAUAAAUUACGGUAUAGGAUUAUCAUCGUCAUUGCCAUCUACACUCCCAAGUACCAUUAAUUUCGGGGGUCAUGAAACCCCUCACAUCUUCCAGAACGAAAUGCAGUUUAAACAUAGGCUAGGAGGCUGUAGCUCCCAGCACGAUUCAUUAAUGAGUCAGAAUGUGCUGUUGACGCCUGAUUCCUCCGACUGCUCUUCGCUCAGCUGCGAGGGCUCACAUCCAAACUGCAACAGCAGUAGUGACGGGUGUCAGCACUGUCAUGAUGUGCUGCGAGAGGACGAGGGGUAUAAUUUUGGUGCUUAUGCUUCCCUAGACGAUGUGCAGAGUUUGUCACUCUCUGUGUCAAGCAACUCUGACGCUUUAAGCCUCUCAAAUAACCCUAGCUCUACCACAAGACAGCCAGAAAUCUCGCCACCAACACAAAACGAAAGCAUUGGUGAAGUGAGCGAGGGUGCAGGAGGCAGGUCCUCGGCGCCCUUGACGCUGGCCAGUGAGUCAAGUGGUGAAGGAGAGUGUUGCGCAGGUGGCGCGGGGAGGUGCCGGGUGUGCGUGGCGGGGGGACUACUCUGCCGCCCGGUGUCAGUGACCUUUCGACGCAGAGCCGCAGGGCUGAGAGGUAUCGUGGUCGCCGACGUGGUGGCCACCUUCCUCAUCAGUAUGGUGGCGGCAGUCGUGUGGGAGGUUACGCCACUCUACCUGGAAGCAAAGAUGAAGUGGUCCCUAGCAGACUGGAUCCCGUAUCUAGCCUGCCACAGCGGACUGGGAGUGGUGGCGCUGGUGGUGGUACUGCCUCUGCUGCGCCGAUGGUGGGUGCUGCAGGACACCACACUGGGGUACUCGGCGGUGUAUCCAGUAUCGCUUCCUCUACCUUCCUUAGUUUCGUGACUUCUUCUUCAACUGCCAUUCCUCUAACUCUUACCUUUGGGCCCUUGGCACAGUACCUCAACGUGUCCUCUGUUUCCAUCCUAGUACGUCUGGUGGACAUGAGUGGCGCGAUCAUGUGCCUGUGCACGAUUGAGCAGCUAGGGUUGACAACUGGCU
rnacentral:misc_RNA from 1 species